rfam:Salmo salar isolate Sally breed double haploid chromosome ssa01, whole genome shotgun sequence.
UGGCUCAGUUGGAAGAGCAUGGUGUUUGCAAUGCCAGGGUUGUGGGUUUGAUUCCCAC